GUAAGUAUAGUUUAACCAAAACAUCAGAUUGUGAUUCUAAAAAUAGAGGUUAGAAUCCUCUUACUCACC